CAACCCUCAAGCGCUGUUCCGCUUGGAGUUGGGGCUCUUGCACUUUAUAUUGCUUUGCAAGCCCUGAAAUUCAGCGGCGGGCCCGCCGGCACACCGAGCGCAGUAAUUUACUUCUCGCUUAGGGCGUGCGGCGCGGCGCAGCCGACUUCUAAAACUUUCCAA
rnacentral:misc_RNA from 1 species